AGAUGAGUAUUCUAAGGCGCUUGAGAGAACUCGGGAGAAGGAACUCGGCAAAUUGGUACCGUAACUUCGGGAUAAGGUACGCCCUUGUAGCUUAACUAUGAACAAUAGAAGGGCGAAAGGGUUGCAAAAAAAUGGUGGCUGCGACUGUUUAAUAAAAACACAGCACUCUGCAAACACGAAAGUGGACGUAUAGGGUGUGACGCCUGCCCGGUGCUGGAAGAUUAAAUGAUGGGGUGCAAGCUCUUGAUUGAAGUCCCAGUAAACGGCGGCCGUAACUAUAACGGUCCUAAGGUAGCGAAAUUCCUUGUCGGGUAAGUUCCGACCUGCACGAAUGGCGUAAUGAUGGCCACACUGUCUCCUCCCGAGACUCAGCGAAGUUGAAGUGUUUGUGAUGAUGCAAUCUACCCGCGGCUAGACGGAAAGACCCCAUGAACCUUUACUGUAGCUUUGCAUUGGACUUUGAACCAAUCUGUGUAGGAUAGGUGGGAGGCUUUGAAGCGGGGACGCCAGUUCUCGUGGAGCCAACCUUGAAAUACCACCCUGGUGUCGUUGAGGUUCUAACCUUGGUCCGUGAAUCCGGAUCGGGGACCGUGCAUGGUAGGCAGUUUGACUGGGGCGGUCUCCUCCCAAAGUGUAACGGAGGAGUUCGAAGGUACGCUAGGUACGGUCGGACAUCGUGCUAAUAGUGCAAUGGCAUAAGCGUGCUUAACUGCGAGACUGACAAGUCGAGCAGGUGCGAAAGCAGGACAUAGUGAUCCGGUGGUUCUGUAUGGAAGGGCCAUCGCUCAACGGAUAAAAGGUACUCUGGGGAUAACAGGCUGAUUCCGCCCAAGAGUUCACAUCGACGGCGGAGUUUGGCACCUCGAUGUCGGCUCAUCACAUCCUGGGGCUGUAGCCGGUCCCAAGGGUAUGGCUGUUCGCCAUUUAAAGUGGUACGUGAGCUGGGUUUAAAACGUCGUGAGACAGUUUGGUCCCUAUCUGCCGUGGGCGUUGGAAGUUUGAGGGGGCCUGCUCCUAGUACGAGAGGACCGGAGUGGACAGACCUCUGGUGUACCGGUUGUGAUGCCAAUUGCAUUGCCGGGUAGCUAAGUCUGGAAGAGAUAACCGCUGAAAGCAUCUAAGCGGGAAACUUGCCUUGAGAUGAGAUUUCCCAGAGCCUUGAGCUCUUUAAAGGGUCGUUCGAGACCAGGACGUUGAUAGGUCAGGUGUGGAAGUGCAGUAAUGCAUUAAGCUAACUGAUACUAAUUGCCCGUACGGCUUGUCCCU
rnacentral:rRNA from 1 species